GUACGUGACAGAGAGUCGCCUGAAACCUCCCAGUGAUUAGAGUUUGGCAAAAUUUAGUUAAUUUCUCUUCCUUUGCAGUUGACAAAAUGUAGACCUUAGUAGUCACAUUUCGUUGGAUAUAUUAAGAAAAAUGGACACACCUUUCAGGCAUUUUGCAGUAGUUACACCACGGACAUUUAUAUGAGUGAAAGUGUUACCAAAUCAUUGUCUUCUAAGUUUCAAGAUUUCAAGCCCCGGAGGAUGGAAGAAUAUUGGACCGUAACCUGAGUGAAAUAAUGAGGGGAAGCUAACGCUGUGGAGAAGAUGAUGAAUAUAUUUUAGGUUGAGGUGCCAGCUGGCAAAACAUCGUGAGGUUAAAAUUUCCUGACCGAUUUGGAAAUAGCAAGCAGUCUGUACAGAGAUAAGAGGUUGAACUUCCGGAUGAGCCUGUAGGUAGAUCAGCUAUGCUUGUUCAAGACCUUACUCUUACCCCACCUGGCCAUCAAUAUGACUGAGAGAGGGAUCUUGAUGAAAAUGUGAUGGAUGACAUCAAGGUGUGCAUUGUCUGCUAGUGUGGAUUGCCUGUGCUCUCCAGUUAUCUUUGUGCUUCUUCCCAAACAUGGUACAUUCAUCUUAUGAAGUGACUCGACGUGCCCAAAAUUUGUGAUGUGGGUUCAGCAAGAUACAUUUCAUUUUGUGUCAUUUAGUGUCCUAUGGUCAAGUGUUUUCUCUUUACCAGAAGCAUCCCAAGAACUAAUUUUCAAAAGACAUGCAAUCUUGAUCCAGAACCCCAGGGGCCUGAAUGUGAUUCUCCUACUAACAUUUCCAUAAUCUCCAUACUACAUUUUUUCCUCCAAAAUUAACAAUUCUACCCCAUAGUACCUACCAUAUCCAAGACUGUACCAGUUCAGACCUGCUGCAGAACUUUCUUUUGCCAGAUCGAAAAGCUGGGAGCUUUUUAUGUCAUCUGCUAUAUGGGCCAGGAAAUUUAUCCGAGGUAUGAAGUAUGUUGCUUACAGAAUCCAAAGUAGCCUACGAGGCAUUAUGCUUUCUCCAUUGUUAUAGGGGAAGCAAGAGGCAGACAUUCAUCUUUUGCUCUGAAGGGGAUAUUCUCCAACCUCCCUGAACACUGGGGCCUUAAAAUAUUUAAUGAGAGUAGUGGUCUUUGAUUGCUUAUAGGGUUCAUUUUUCUCUUUCUCUGGAGCACAAACCUCCAGCAUUCCAAACACUUCUUGCUCGACCUAUUUGAUAAGCAUAAGGCCAUUAAUAUGAUCCUCUACAGGAUUUCCAGUUGAUUCAGAUCUCUUUGAACUGUGUUAUGACAGAGAAAAGAGAGUUAACAUGGCCCUGGGUUCAAAGUGUCAGUGUGUUUGUUGUCUUUUUAUUUCAUGUGGACACGAACUAUUUCUAAUUGUCUUACUUAAAUGGAGUAGGAAAUAAUGCACUCUCUAAAUCAGUGGUCACAUACCAUGUAGCUGCACCUGGUAUAGCAGCUACAAUUGGUGCUGCUGCCUAGUUGAACUUGUAAUAGUCUGUAAUCAUCCCACUAAUUCAUCUGGUUUCUGCAGGGGCCAGGUUGUUAAAGUAAAUGGAGACCUGAUGUGAACCAUUAGUUUUUUAUAUCCUUAAGAGUGUUAUUAAUUAUUAUC